UGCGGUAUCCUGACCGUGCUAAGGUAGCGUAAUAAAUCGCCCUUUAAUUGUGGGCUUGUAUGAAAGGACAAACGAAAGCUAUGCUGUCUCUUAACAAAAAAUUGAAACUGUCUUUCAGGUGAAGAGCCCUGAAUAUAAUCAAAGGACAAGAAGACCCCGUAGAGCUUCAUAUUUAAAAAUCAAUAAAACUAUAUAAUUAUAUAAUAAUUUUAUUCAAUUUCUAAUAUUUAGCUGGGGCGGCUAAGGAAAAUAAAUCUUCCAUAUCCCUAUACUUAGGUUCACAAACCUUUCUAAAAUGACCCUUCAUAAGAUCAAAGAAUCAAGCUACCUCGGGGAUAACAGAUUAAUUCUUCUUGAGAGUUCGCAUUGACAGAAGAGAUUGACACCUCGAUGUUGGCUUAGGAUAACCUAUAGAUCUGCAGCAGUCUAUAAUGGUAGGUUUGUUCAACCUUUAAAAUCCUACAUGAUCUGAGUUCAAACCGGAGA
rnacentral:rRNA from 1 species